UCUGAGGUCUGGUGGCCAGGAAAUGGCAGA
rnacentral:piRNA from 2 species